CACGUUGAUAUCUAACCUGAUCAGUUUCUGCUGACUUCCACUACUAAUUCAGUGUAAAUCAAUUCUCAGUGAGUCAAAGCCAAGACCGGAAAGGCGGAUGCGAGAACCGGAAACGAGCAUUGGUGACGUCACAGAGGUGGAUCCUGUCGGCGGAGCGUUUGAAUGCACGUAAACGAAGCUCUUCUCAGUAUCAGAGGAGAUAUGGCCAUGUUCUUGAGGUGCCGGGUGGGCGACUAUGGACCACAGAGAUUAAAGAUCUAAACUGAAGAAAUGCAAGCCUGUUUUUUAUGGCUUCUUGAGAACUCUGUGACUCAGCUUCUACUGGAGCAGCUGUGAUGCUAGUGUGAUCAUGUGACCCUUGGAUCCGCUGCCAGAACUUCAUCAAGUCCAGGUCACUGCCCAGAACACAGGUCACCAACGUGGUGUGCAUCUGAAACUCUGAAGGCUCUGGUUCUUCUGUUGAGGUGGCCCCAUUUUCAGAAGACUGUUGACCUGAUCCAGAACACUGACCCGUCACAUUUGGGACCUGUGGGCUCAUGAUCUCCACUGGAGGUCAUGGUCUUCCCUCGCUUGCUGGGACAAUGAUUGUCUGUGUCUUAUUCUCUCAGACCCAGACACAGCACACCGGCGCCUCCUGCUGUCCAACAACAACAGCAUGGUGGAACUAGUGACGGAGGAUCAGGAUUAUCUGGACCAUCCCGACAGGUUUGAGCGGUGUCCUCAGGUGAUGAGCAGAGAUGCUGUGACUGGUGUCUGUUCGUGGGAGCUGGAGUUUCUGUGGUGUAAUGGUGAUGCUGGAUAUCAGGUUUGUCUCAGUCCUGAUCCACCUCUGCACCUUCUUCAGAUUCUUCCACAGAUCUUCAUUGAUGCAUAUAUAUCGCGAUUUCCUUCUGGUUUCCACAUUGUUGUGCAUCUCCAUCUAAUGAUUAUACAAGAAGUUAUUGCAAAUGCUCCUGAAUGUCUGAUGCAGGCGUGUCAUUUUAAGAGACUGGAAGUGGUUCCCAGAGCGGGAAAGAUUCCUCCAGUGUGAGAGCCUUGUGGAGCAGCGUGGCGGUGAUCACACUGAUAGAGACGCGGUUACAUGAUGGCACAGGUUUAUUGACAUUAGUUGCCUUAGUUGGGCCAAGGUUGGACUUGGUGUAGGGACAGAACGCUAACAUCAUCGGACCAGAACAUUCCUGCUAUUCCCACAGCUGCCGAUCGAAACUCUGACGAGUGAAUGUUUAACGCUGUUAUUCCAACUCUGUCUCCGAUUGUUCGUUCCAAACUGGCUCUGUGCAUGGAGCGAUUUCAGUCUGGCGCAGACCACAACAGCUCUGGUGGAGGGAACGACACCGACAUGUCACUCUAGCAAUGCAAAGUAAACAGAAGAAAGUUUUCACUGCGUCUUCUCAGAGAGUUUUAUUCCAAACUCAGUGAGGGAGACUGCAAACCUCUUGCUGUGGUCUGCUCCAGGAUGGAGACCACGGAACACCUGCGCUCAAAACCCUCAGAUCAACACCGUUCUUCUGUGGUCCUUCUGUCUUCGUGGCUUCUGACUGGCUUCUCGAGUGGGAAUAAUUUCUCGCCCGAAAUGAUAUGUUUAGUGACAUCAUGACAGCUGAAGGCCAGCGGCUUCAAAAUUCCACCACCGGUGAGAGUCAUGACUCCCAUGAGGGAUGAAAAUGAUUUCAGCGACUGCCUCACUGCGAGCCUGCUGUGACUCUGUGUAUGUGUGUGUAGGACUUCAGGAGCGUGACGCUGCCGUGGUGCGACACGCCCAUGGGCAAGACACAUUCCUCCGUCAGCUGCUCUCUGUCGCUGUCCCAGCACAUCACGGUGGAGAUGACCUGGUUCUUGUUGUCCCGCCCGCCGGUGAUGAAGAGUUUGUUGCUGCAGGCAGCAAUGGCGCAGCUCGCCCUCUCGCCCAGCCGCGUCACCAGAGACCAGGAGUCAGUCAGCGGUGUGUAGCGGUACAUGGCAUGCAUGGCUCCGCCUGCGUGUCACGGAUGAGACGAUUUCAAAUGAAAACGUUUGCUUGUUGACAGCUUAAAAGGUUCAGAGAUGAGGAGCAGCUCCUCUGUGUCUGAGACCAUGGAUGGAGUGUUCUGUCCUGGUGGGAGUUGAAACCCUCCUCAGGUGGUCAAGUACCUCAGGGUCCUGACCACGAGUGAGGUCAGGAAGCAACAUCUCAGUCAAGAGCUGAGCCAGAAGACAACGCUUCUGCUCUCACCUGUAGUCACCAGUCUCCAAGACUCCCUCCUCGAGAGGGAUGCUCAGUCAUCCAGGAGAGACUCAGAGGAGAACCUCUGCUCCUCCAAGAGAAGCCACUGAGGUGACGAGUGAGGUGUUGAAUUCGGGGGAGGUCUACCCAGGAGACACCGUAGAGACAACAUCUCUCAGUAGACCUGAACCACCUGCAGAAGAUCUGGUAGUUUCUGGAGGGAGAAGCUGUUGCCCUUGAGGCCCAACCUCAGAAGAGUGAUGGAAGACAGAGGGACUGACGUGAGGCACCUACCGACGAUGUAGAUGUGGUCCUUAAAGCUGACUGCGUUGGUGCACUUGGUUUCAAUGGGCAUUGGCGCUCGCAGCUCCCAGCCGUCGGACCCGGCUUCCCAGCACUGAACCUUAUCGGUGGCCAGCUUGCCGUUUGGUCCUCCUCCGAUCACAUAGAUCCAUCUGUCGAAGGUCGCCGCGGCACAGGAGCUGACGCCUUCCGCAAGAGGAACAACCUGGAGGAGAAGGAACAUCUGGAGUUCUUGUAGCGCUUUUCUGAAGUGUAUACAGCCAACGUCACUGAAUUCUUUUUGAAUCUACCAUCUGCCUCGACCCACUUUCCCAAAACAUACCUUCCGAACCUGCUGCCUAAAGCCUGGGUUUCCAGCCCCAGCAUGUGUUUCUCAGCAGCUAACGCCAGCGUUGGCCAGUGUUCAUCCUCACCUCCGUCCAGCGGUUGUGAAAGGGGUCAUAGGCCUCGACGCUAUCAAGCCUCUGAAGUCCAUCGAAGCCCCCGAGAGCGUAGACCUUCCCGCCCAGCACCGCCAUCUUGUGUCUCCAGCGGCCCGUGGUCAGCGGCUCGAUCUGGAUCCACUUGUCCAGGGCGCCGUUGUAUUUCCAGACGUCCCUCUGCGUCUCUUUGCCUCCUGCGACCACACAAACAUGACGUGACACCGCUUGUUAUUAGGAUUCAACUUGGAACGUUUCAGUGAGUUUCACUCACAACAAGUGGCUGAAACAAGAGGACAUGCUGACUCGCAACGAAGCCUCACUGAUGAAGCUGUCUCACCAGAUAUGAACACCUCGUUCCGGAAGGUGAUGCAGGCAAACUCCACCCAUUUCCUGCUCUUGGACUCGUCCUCCGUCUCCGUCAGAGGCAGCAGAGCGACCUCCAGGCGGCUGCGCCUGAGAGGGUCCAGACAGGUGACCGUGGGGACGAAGCGCUCCUCUUUGGUGCAGCCACCGAUGAUCAGGAAGACCUCAGACAGGAAGUGCUUCAUGCGAGGCUUCGUUCGCUCGGAGACCACCUGGAAGAAGAAGACUGAGUUCUGUUGGACCGUGGCGAGAGUCUGGCCUCGAAGAUCGGAGGCGAGGAACCUCGUCACCUCCAAGAGAAACGGAGAUUAAAUCUGACCCUAGGACUGAAGAGACUUGACGGAUCCAGUUUCCACUAACCCGUGUACUGACCUCUCUGCCGGACAGGUGGUAGGUCCGCGCCUCUUGCAACAGUGGAAAGGUCUCAUGGCAGAGUCGAAUCAGCUCAUCAGACUCCACGUUGUCCACAAAGUAAGCCGGGUCCAUCAGUGGCAGCCGGACACGCGAGAGCAGCCGGGCCAGCCCCCGACAGCGCUCGUCCGGCCGAGCUCUUAUCCAGCGCAUCAGCGCCUCGAAAACGCGCUCCUCGCUCUUCACGUCCAGGUCGCUCCUCCCCAGGAUGGACUCCAGGGACUCGGCAGGAAGAUCCAGGAAGUCCUGCUGCUGGACCACCUGGGAGAACUGAGCGGAGAUGUAGUCCUGGACCUUGGUCUUCAGAGACGGGAGGUUGUGGUCGACGGACAGCUUCAGGAUCUCGACACAGCUCUCCAGGCAGAGCGAUCUGCUGAGGAAGGCGGCGCAGGCAUCCACCACACGUAGGAACUGUGGGAGACAGACAACGCAGGAGGGUGAGGCUUCAAGGGAGUUCAGGCCUGACCUGGAGCUUCAUGAAGCACCGCCAUCAAAGCUUCAGAGGCGGCGCGCUUGAACAUCUAACAGAGAGCGCCCUCCAGUGGGUGAAAGGAUGGGUUCAUGAAGCUCCGUCAGUGGAGCUUCUACCUUCUGCUCACUCGCCCACGUCACACGCUCGUCCUCACUUGAGUCUGUCUGUGCUUCCAACCCUUCUUCAGUCAGUCCUGGUGACCAAGUGAUCGUAGAUGAGUCAUGUUUCCGCUCCACCCUACUGUCACGUGGAAACAUCGUAGCUUCGGAGCCGCACCUGGGCCGUCGAAAGUUUCACUUCCUGCUUCAGAAGGACUUGCUGCGCACUCGUCUAGUUUCAAGUGACGUUCGGGGCCGAAACCGAAAUUAUCAAUUGAACGACGUUUAUCACCGCAGAACAAAAAGUUCACCCUGCAACUGCACUCAACUGGACUCUUGAACCUCACUGAUCCUCUCCGUCGUCUCUUGGUUCUCUCCACGUGCUGUUCACCCUGUCUGCACUCUCUUCGUCUGACCAGUCGUUGGAUCAGUGUCUCCUCGAAGGUCAGUCGAUGUUCUGCACGAUCAGCCGAAUAUUGACCGUCCAGCCGCAGGUCCCCGUCACCGCCCGAGCGAGUUCCUCUUCAUGAUGAUGUCAUCUCAUGUGCCUCGCAGCUGAUGCGGUGUGUGACAUGUUUAGUAUCUCGCUGGCUUCCUGCCCGUCGUGUCAAAUGAAGGCUUCUCGUGGCUUGGCGGCUGAAACAAACAACUCGCCCCAGGAGGAAGCGUGGUGCUACUCUGAUGGAACCCUUCCUGUGCUGGUCUCUUGCUCUGGCUGUCUCCAGCUGGGUGGUGUGGUGUGACCUGCUGCUGGUGAGAGGGUUGGAGCCAUGCUGAUGGACUGACCUGGAACUGGCUGGCAGCCUCCAGGAUGCUCUGGACGUUGGCCUGUGUGAAGACAGCUCUGCUGGUGUAGGUGUAGCGCAGCAGCGUCUGCAUGGUCUCCCGGUCCACGCC